GCAUGUGAUGUGCGUCUAUUGCUUUGUAGGGGUACUCGAAACCUUACUGAUAUAUAGAUCUAGGUCGACAGAUUUAACAUAAAGUAUCUCGAGGUGUUUAUGUUUACAUGGAUACUGGCAGAUUCUAGGAAUGCCACCUAAAAAUCGAGCGGAGAGCCAGAGAUCCCCGGCCAGGGGGGUCGGGAUGAAACGUAACCGUCGGACAACAGGUCAACUCCGGGAACGAAGUCCAAAUCACACGGCCACACCUUGGACGGAUCGACAAACCCCGGCAGAGGGACAGCCACAACCCCCUGAGGAGGUCCCUCGAUUCCCACUCGAUAAUACACCGGAUAACCCGGUGGGCCCGUGUUCGAAGACUUGCACCAGAGGCAGACCAGUGACCUACACCACUACCAGCCCACAUAUGGGACUUGUAGAGCAGCAAACAUCUAGACUUCUUACAGGUCACUGGCUCACAACACUCACUUGGCAUACAAUACAGCUUUAACCAAGUUUAAACAGUUUACUUUACUGUAUGGUUUCACCAGCACAUGGUCUGUCCCUGUCGAUCAGCUGC